UCCACUUGAAAAGAGCUUUGUUUUCUUGAAAAUGAAAGUGAAAUUGGUUUGAGUAAAAGUUAUUUUUUUGUUUGAAAGUAGAUUUUCUCUUGUUAUUACUGUUAAAUUAAAAGUUCUCCCAUUCAUAUGAAAAGUUGUAGAAACGUCAAAUCAAUCAAUGGUGAACCUUUGAGCAAGGCAGAGAGAAGGAAAAAUUAUGACUCACUUUAAGUUCUAGGCACUAUAGAAUAUCAGAAGCAAAAACAAAUAAAAAGAAUCAGUUUUGCAACCGCGAAUAUGUUCGGUGUCGUCCGGUGGUGCGUUUAAUUUUAUUAUAAAUACGGAGCAACAGAGCUGAUGUGGAUAUGUGGAUAUGCUAUUUUGGUUUUUUGGACAGACCAUUAUAUGGCAAAGAAAAUGCCACGGUUGUGGCCCUAACAUGGAACUGAAAGAUAAUUCGCAUGUCCCGGCGGUCACAAACCAACGAAAAAACAACACCGCAAUGCUUAAGAAACACCCGAGAUUUCCGACCGGUGGUUGGAUUAUUGGAUUAUUCCGAUGAGCAACCACAGAACAAUAUAAUAAAAUGAUUUAAAUAAAUAAAAUUGAAAAAGAAAA